rnacentral:rRNA from 1 species
GACGAACGCUGGCGGCGUGCUUAACACAUGCAAGUCGAACGGAAAGGCCUCUUUCGGGGGGUACUCGAGUGGCGAACGGGUGAGUAACACGUGAGUAACCUGCCCUUGACUUUGGGAUAACUUCAGGAAACUGGGGCUAAUACCGGAUAGGAGCUCCUGCUGCAUGGUGGGGGUUGGAAAGUUUCGGCGGUUGGGGAUGGACUCGCGGCUUAUCAGCUUGUUGGUGGGGUAGUGGCUUACCAAGGCUUUGACGGGUAGCCGGCCUGAGAGGGUGACCGGCCACAUUGGGACUGAGAUACGGCCCAGACUCCUACGGGAGGCAGCAAUGGGGAAUAUUGCACAAUGGGUGGAAGCCUGAUGCAGCAACGCCGUGUGCGGGAUGACGGCCUUCGGGUUGUAAACCGCUUUCGCUCAUGACGAAGCUUUGUGUGACGGUAGUGGGUAAAGAAGCACCGGCUAACUACGUG